AUGACUGAAAGGUUACAGGCUGAACAUAAGAGGACACAUCACAAAUGUUUCAUAUUCACUGAUCUUUCUGAGUCUCUCUGCUAUUUAAAGGUGCAGUGUGGAACUUUAAGCAGCAUCUAGUGGUGAGACUAUGAAUUGCAACCAAUGGCUUAAUCCACCGCUCAUCGCUCCUUUUCGACAAACAUGUCAUCAUCUGAGACAACGUAGAGACAAAACACGCUCUGUAUAGCAUUUUGUCCAUUUGGGGGUACUGUACAAACAUGACGCCGACUUCCAUGUAAGGGGACCCAAGGUGUAUGUAGAUAAAAACGACUCAUUCUAAGUUGUCGAUGAUGACGCCGAUGAAUAAGUUCAGGGUAAAGAAGGACCCGAAAAUGAUGAAGAUGACAAAGUAGAGGUACAUGUAGAGGUUUAUCUCCUUGACGGGCUGCUCUUCGACCUGACACACAGAGCUCCACUGCUGAGGAGGAUCAUGAAGAUGAUGAAGGUCUCAAACCAGCUGUGCUCCACAAUCUGAUAGCAGGUCUUCCUUAACCUCCACCACAUCUGUCCCAGACCUUGUGUUGUGUUAAUAUUACAACACUCACACCGUCGCAGGCAAACUUCAGGGAAACACUCCUCUGGGUCCAUGGCAUCAUCUGCUAUUUCCGAAUCUUCUUCCUCAUCCUCCCCUGGCUUCCUUAGGUCCACCGUACUUCCCUCUGACAGACUUAUCACUUCCUGGUAAACCAAAC